rnacentral:rRNA from 1 species
UACGUAGGGUCCAAGCGUUAUCCGGAAUCACUGGGCGUAAAGCGUGCGUAGGUGGAUGUUUAAGUGUGAUGUUAAAUCGUGUGGCUCAACCAUAUCGAUGCAUCGCAUACUGGACGUCUAGAGGACAGCAGAGGCAAGUGGAAUUUGUAGUGUAGCAGUGAAAUGCGUAGAUAUUACAAGGAACACCAAUGGCGAAGGCAGCUUGCUGGGCUACUCCUGACACUGAGGUACGAAAGCGUGGGGAGCGAACAGG